GAUGAACGCUGGCGGCGUGCCUAAUACAUGCAAGUCGAGCGAACAGACGAGGAGCUUGCUCCUCUGACGUUAGCGGCGGACGGGUGAGUAACACGUGGAUAACCUACCUAUAAGACUGGGAUAACUUCGGGAAACCGGAGCUAAUACCGGAUAAUAUAUUGAACCGCAUGGUUCAAUAGUGAAAGACGGUUUUGCUGUCACUUAUAGAUGGAUCCGCGCCGCAUUAGCUAGUUGGUAAGGUAACGGCUUACCAAGGCAACGAUGCGUAGCCGACCUGAGAGGGUGAUUCGCCCAAAUGGAACCGAGACACGGUCCCGACCCCUACGGGAGGCAGCAGUAGGGAAUCUUUCGCAAAGGGCGGAAGCCUGACGGAGCAACGCCGCGUUAGUGAUUAAGGUCUUCGGAUCGGAAAACCCUGUUAUUUGGGAAGAAAAAAUGUGUAAGUAACUAUGCACGUCUUGACGGUACCUAAUCAGAAAGCCACGGCUAACUACGUG
rnacentral:rRNA from 1 species